CUUCUGUCUGCAUGUUCAGGGACCUGUACUACCUGUGCUGAGGGGCGUUCUCCACUUUUUCUCCUGAGAUCUUAAAAAUGGUGCUGUGAAUGCUGCUGGCCUGACCUACCUGGCAGGGUUGUAGAGAGACAUGAAUGUGAUAAGAAGAGUGGAGUAAGAAUGGAGACAGAUUUGAAGACAACUUUUUCAAAACAGAUAAGCAGAUUGAAAAAGCCAAUGCAACGUGGGUAUUUUCAGUUUGAGUUAUGAGCUCUAGUUUUAUAUGGAUUGUCUCCUCCUUUGAAUCAUGUGGAUGGUCAAAGUCAGUCUAGGAAAAGAAAAAGAGAACAUUGUAUAACUUUGGGUUUCAAAAUAGACCUUAAAAAUAUAUUUGACUCAGGAGGGAGAAAAAAUGGUGGAUUAGGGGUGAUCUCCUGGCUCUCUGCUCUCAGAGUGAGAAGUGAAGAAAGUGGAUAACUACAUGUGAGUUAAUUGCACUACUACAGGAUCAGCUUUGUAAAGCUGCAGAGAAGAACACACUGGGGACAACACUGGGGAAAAACUAAGGUGAAUCGGAGAAUCUACAGCAAAGCCCAGAAAGUCUGAAAUAUACAAUAGGGAGGGAGUGUGGGACCGCCCUGCCAAUUGGCUGGCGGGCUGAGGAAGUGCAAGCUGUAGGGGGGGGGGAGUUUCUUCCCCCACCGACCUCCACUUCUACACAGGCAGAGAAGUGCCUGAAGUCGGUGGGAAGUGGUGGCACACAUGGAUAGGCUGUGUGGAGUAGAGACUGGAGUGGGGAACAAUUUGAACUCUCCUGUAUGCUCUGCCAAGGCAGCUUUGGGUGUGGGAGGGUCUGGACCCAGUGGACACUUCCCAGUACCGCAGGAGAGAGCUUGGUGACAGGCAUCUCACUUCAGGAGGCUUCCAGGACCAGGCCGGGGGGUGGGGGUGUAUACCUUAAAGGAGGCUCUGCCUUUGGAAAUUGCUAAGGAGUUGGCUGGCGCAGGGUGAUCAGGGUGCAGAUUUCUGCACCUAAAUGGUUGUGACUCGGCGUGUUGGGGAAGCAAUGGGCUCCCCCUGCAAUGGGCUGCAAUGAGCAAUGGGCUCAGCAGGUGGAUUGGAGACAGACCUCCAAAUUCAGCCCAGCUUUCCACCCUGCAGGUGCCUUCUGCACUGGU